rnacentral:misc_RNA from 1 species
GGAAUCAGUUAUGGAAAAGUUAGAAAUUGAGGGAAAAUGAGGGAAAGUGGGAAGGAAAAUGGAGAGGUAGAUUUAUCUUUGUGUGAUUUCAGCUUAAACAGUGAUUCUUGUUUAGAUGUAGUAAUUGCUUUCGGUAGUUCNNNNNAAUCCUUCUUGAACCAAAAAUUAAUACUAGCUUCCGUACACAGCGCUUAUCUUUAUUUCAGUCACACCUUACAUAUUUAGACUUGCUGUUGAAGCUAUUGAAGAUCUCUUAAAGGGUAACUGGACCUGGAGAGCUUCUCCCCUUUUCAGUAUUUUUGGCAUAUUCAUCUUCUGCAUCUCAUUGUGUUUUUUGAUCUCGUCUAUUGGCAAAGUUGGUAAUUUGGUAUUUACUUGAUGGGCUGUUCAAAUUCAUGUUUUAUAUAAUCUUCGUGGCAUUGGGGUCAAUGCCAAAGAGGUGGAUUUAAAUGGAGAGAAACCUGAACAACUUUGCGAUGGAACAAUCAGACAUGCAUAAACAAUUUCAAUACAGUUCCAGGGAAU